AUCUUUAGAAACUACUGAAGAAGUAUGGGGAGUUUAAGCCACCACAGGAGGAGGAGAACUUUGACAUUCAUGUUCUUGAGAUGGGUUUUGGUGAAGUGGGUAAAGAGCCCAUUGAUAAUGUUCAUUUCUACAGCAAGAAUGAGCCAAACAGAGCCUUCAAGAUGCAGAAGUACCAGGUGUCCAAUCUCAAGCCAAAGAAGUUU